GAUGAACGCUAGCGGCAGGCCUAAUACAUGCAAGUCGAACGGUAAUAUGAUAGCAAUAUUAUAUGAGAGUGACGUAUGGGUGCGUAACACGUAUGCAACCUACCUUGUACAGGAGGAUAGCUCGGGGAAACUCGAAUUAACCCUCCAUAAUAUAAUUGGAUGGCAUCAUUUGAUUAUUAAAACUUGGUGAUACAAGAUGGGCAUGCGUCUGAUUAGUUAGUUGGCGGGUAAAGGCCCACCAAGACGAUGAUCAGUAGGGGAACUGAGAGGUUGA
rnacentral:rRNA from 1 species